AUGAGAAGAACCUGGAGCUCAUUGGCAGCAUCCUCAGUGAAGGAUCCGUCCCUCUCUGACAGCUCCACUGUUGGGCUUCAGGCACUGUUUGCACUACUGGAAGCAAAAGCACAGAGGAAUCAACACCAUCUUCAACUGGUGGGACAGGUUUCCUUGCUGUGCUCCUCUGAUGGAUGUGCAAGAUCAAGGAAUAUUCGGCAGGAGGGCGAGAGGGAGAGAAGUCUCCCGGGGAGAUGGUCACUUCACUUCCUCCUUCCUGUAACCUCUGGUAGCCAGUCUCCUAUUCUCCGUUUCUCUGAAAUCAGCCUUCGAUUGGGGAAAGGAAAAGGAGGUCACAGUGGCCCCAGGACUCUUGGAUUUGCUGUUUUCUCAAGAGGUAAUAUUCCUCCUUCAGAGGGGUACAUGGCUGGCCUCUCACUGCUUUCAGGUUUGUACUCUAACUUUAUCAACGAGUUUUCCUGA
rnacentral:lncRNA from 1 species